rnacentral:rRNA from 1 species
AUGGCGGAGGUGGAGAGGAAGGCGCCGCGGAGGGAGGAGGAGCUGGUGGAGGCGGCGCUGGCGGCCGCCGCGGCCGCGCUGUUCGUCUCCGGGGUCAAGAGCCUGGCGCCGGCCGUGCUCGUGGACCGCUGGUGGUGGCCCCUGCCCGCGCAGGUGCUCGCCGCGGCGCCGUCGCCCGUCCUCUUCCUGCUCCUCAACGUCCUCGUCGCCUGCAUCGUCGUGGUGUCCCUGCAGCCCACCAAGCGACCCGCCGCGGCGUCGGCAACGGGCGGCGUCGCCGCGGAGGUGGCGCCGGCGGGCGACGGCGCGGCGAAGAAGCUGAAGAAGAGGCGGAGCAGCAAGAGGCGCGGGGCCGACGCCGAACCGGCGGCUCUCGCGCCACCCUACGUCGCGGCCGACCGCUGCAUGGCGCUGGUGGUUGACCGCGGUGUCGUGGCGCCGACGGGCGGAGAAGAAGAAGAGGAAGGAGCCGCCGGCGACGCGGCGGAGGUGGACAGGCGCGCGGAGGAGUUCAUCUCGGCGUUCCGGCACCGCCUCAGGGUCGACUCCUUCUCGUCUCGCCGCGGGGAGGCUGGCGACGCGGCGGCGCGAGCCAUCAGCAGCACUGCGCCGUGCUUUUGA